UCUGGUUUUGAGUUUGUUUUCCUUUUCAGAUGUGUGAAAAUCUUGAAGGUUUUCUUCUCUCAUGUAUUCUACAAGUCAUAAUUAUUUUGUAUGGUUGUGUGCAUGCAUGUGUGUGGGUGAGAGGGGAGUUUGUCCAAUUACUGAUUUUAUGAAAUUAGAGUAUCCAAGCGUAUGUUGUUUGAAGUGUACUCGGGACAUAUACUUUUGUAGGGGAUUGGUCAGCAACUACUCUUAGCAGCUUGUCAUUUUUUAUAUCUUUACAAUAUGAGUUGUUUUUUAAUCCUUUUUUUAAUUUUGUGUUUACUUUCAAUUUCUCUAUGUUUUCUGCUUAUCAUUUUGAGUAGAGUUGAGGCUUUAACACUAUUCUGGAAAGUUACUGCACUUAGUAUUCUGUUAUGCUGAUAUAUAUUAUAGUUUUUGUAGAUGCAUAUCUGGUUUUGGGUUUGUUUUCUUUUUCAGAUGUGUGAAAAUCUUGAAGGUUUUCUUCUCUCAUGUAUUCUACAAGUCAUAAUUAUUUUGUAUGGCUGUGUGCAUGCAUGUGUGUGGGUGAGAGGGGAGUUUGUCCAAUUACUGAUUUUAUGAAAUUAGAGUAUCCAAGCAUAUGUUGUUUGAAGUGUACUCGGGACAUAUACUUUUGUAGGGGAUUGGUCAGCAACUACUCUUACCUGCUUGUCAUUUUUUAUAUCUUUACAAUAUGAGUUGUUUUUUUAAUCCUUUUUUUAAUUUUGUGUUUACUUUCAAUUUCUCUAUGUUUUCUGUUUAUCAUGAAUGUUGUAAGAAACAUUCUUUUUCUUAUUUUCUAUCUUGCUUCUUGUAUUUUGCAGAAAGCAUCACCAAUUCUUUAAUUGCCUGCUCAUUUUGUUGUUGACAAACUAAUACCUCUCACGCUACUUCAUAUGCCUAUACACCCAGGUCUUCCUCCAGUUACUAGAGGAUUUUGACUGUUGCAGAAAUAAUAACUAAAUAUUGAAAGUGGAAUCGUCC
rnacentral:lncRNA from 1 species